rnacentral:rRNA from 1 species
CAGCCGCCGCGGUAACCCCAGCGCCACAAGUGGGAACCACGCUUAUUGGGUCUAAAGCAUCCGUAGCCGGUUCUGCAAAUGCCCUGUGAAAUCGUUGCGCUUAACGUAACGGCGUGCAGGGUAGACUACAGAACUAGGGACCAGAGGAAGUAGACGGUAUUCCUGAGGGAGCGGUAAAAUGUGAUAAUCUCAGGAGGACCACCGAUGGCGAAGGCAGUCUACUAAUAUGGAUCCGACGGUGAGGGAUGAAAGCUAGGGGAGCGAUCCGGAUUAGAUACCCGAGUAGUCCUAGCCGUAAACGCUGCAUGCCAGAUGUUACACAAUCUUCGAGAUUGUGUAGUGUCGAAACGAAGGUGUUAAGCAUGCCACCUGGGAAGUACGGUCGCAAGGCUGAAACUUAAAGGAAUUGGCGGGGGAGCACCA